rnacentral:rRNA from 1 species
UGGGGAAUAUUGGACAAUGGGCGAAAGCCUGAUCCAGCCAUGCCGCGUGUGUGAAGAAGGCCUUUUGGUUGUAAAGCACUUUAAGCGAGGAGGAGGCUACUUAGAUUAAUACUCUAGGAUAGUGGACGUUACUCGCAGAAUAAGCACCGGCUAACUCUGUGCCAGCAGCCGCGGUAAUACAGAGGGUGCGAGCGUUAAUCGGAUUUACUGGGCGUAAAGCGUGCGUAGGCGGCUUUUUAAGUCGGUUGUGAAAUCCCUGAGCUUAACUUAGGAAUUGCAUUCGAUACUGGGAAGCUAGAGUAUGGGAGAGGAUGGUAGAAUUCCAGGUGUAGCGGUGAAAUGCGUAGAGAUCUGGAGGAAUACCGAUGGCGAAGGCAGCCAUCUGGCCUAAUACUGACGCUGAGGUACGAAAGCAUGGGGAGCAAACAGG